GGGAGAUCCAGAUUCAGUUUGAUAGCUUGUGUGCAUUGAGGUCUCUGUCUUUGCUAAGUGAAGUGUGGAUGCAGCUAAAACAAUUUUCAAAGUAUACUGUGUCAGUUCAGAACCAUGGCUGAUGCCUGGAUGUGCUGCCCAAGAGACCCGGACCCUGAGCUUCAGUGUGGUCUAACCGACUGCAGAUUAAGUAACAAAUGGAAUUGAGAUGCAACGGAAAUGUGAAGCUACGUUAGAUAAAGAGCACUAGCAUUACGCUUGGAUGUGGAUCAGAGUGCAAGAGGAAUCUGGGAUCCUGGUGUCAUGAGAGCUACACCCGAAAUACGAUGCUCUCAGCCUAUGCAGAGACCUGGCCCCGUGUAUACAGUACUUCAGUGUAUGUCUAUUUAGAAAGGACUCUGUGAUUACACACACACACACACACACACACACACACAUGUAAAUAUACAUAUAUACACAUGUAUCAAAGAUAAUACAUAUAUACAUUAUCUAACAUAUAUAGAAUUCUGUAUGUAUAGAAUAUAUCUACAUAGAGAAGAGAGACAGAGACACACAGAGAGACAGGCAGAGUGUGCAACCAGGUGUGUGCAUGAGUGUGUGUGUGUGUGUGUGUGUGUGUGUAUACUGGGGAUGGAUACAUACAUGCACGUGUAUGUAUGUACACUUAAAUUUAAAGAUAGGUCCCAGAUGGCAGGAAAUCUUUCUCAGAUUGUAUCCCUGCUUUUCAAGUACUUUCCUGAACAACAAGAGAAGUUGUAAAUAGUUGUAAAUGCCCCUAGGCUCAUAAAGCAUUAUCUACCGUUUCUGAGAAGACAGAGCCUGAGCUUAUUGAUUAAAAUAUAUUUUUGGGAGUUCCCAUUGUGGCUCAGCAGGUUAAGGACCCAACUUGGUCUCCAUGAGGAUGCGGGUUUCAUCCCUGGCCUUGCUCAGUUGGUUAAGGAUCUGACAUUGCCUCAAGAUGUGGGAUAGGUCACAGAUGUAGCUCAGAUCCGGUGUUGCUGUGGCAGUGGUGUAGGUCUGCAGCUGUGGUUUCAAAUCGACCCCUAGCCUGGGAACUGUAAAAAUAUAUAUACAUAUAUGUAUAUAUAUUUGCUUUUUCUUUACUAGUUUUUCUUUUUUAAAAAAUGAAGGCAUUGGGAAGCUUUUCAAGUGAUUUUUUUUUUUUUUUUGCAUGUGUGUGAAAUUAAUUCUUGGCCUCAGGCACAGGAGCCUUAGAGUAUAGACAUUGCCUUAGAACCCUAGGAGCAAGCUGCUAUCCUGAGGUUAGGUUUAACUUUCAAAUGUAAUUUCCAUGGGAGCCCAUGGUUCAAAUGUGAGGCGUUUUAAACUGAAUCUGGACUGUUCAGAUCACCAUGGAAUUGAAUUCAUUUGAUGAGAAAGCCCCCUGUGCCUGGUGGGACUAUGCGCUCUGAGAAGCCGAUAUUCAUGCACAUCAGCGCUUACCCUUGAUGGCAUGAUGGCUCUUUCUGAGUCUGUACCUGUUUGUCUGGGGAGUCUAGAGACUUGCCUCCAAAUUAAAGAUGGAUAUCAUGUCAUAUCCAUACAAUGUAACUAUAGUGUGAUAGGUUGAUGAAGUAAGGUAUUUCUGAAUAUUGCCUUAAAACAUGAUUGCAUACAUCUGAAACACUCAUAUCUGAGUAACUUAUAUUCUUGGGGACGUUAAGCCUAUCGCCAGCCGGUCCAGUGAGUACUGUUUUGCUGCAGGUAAUUCUGUGUGUUCAUGGGACCUCUUACUACUCAAAGUCAGGAGUCCCCUCCAGCCUCGCUCAGUAGUGGCACUGCUGAUAGAGUUGUGGGCAAAGGCUCAGAUGUCGAGCUGGUGAGGGCACGGAUGAGAGCCAGUUGGAACCUUAAGGUAGCAAACUUUAGAAUCUAUUCCGAGUGUCCGGUGGGAGGAGGCAGCUGGGAAUACGCCUUCUUUUUAAAACGAAGCGCAAAGGUGUUCUUGUGUUCCUGCCAGCUUCGUGUUUCAGAAAACAGUCAGCUCUUCUGAUGGCUGAGCUCAGAACGAAAUGGGGUGCUUCCUUAGCUUCGCGUUCAGUGAGCUUGUAGGUGCUUAGAGGUGCAGACGAUAUUUCUCUCUCCUGCCUAGGGAGACAUAAACAUUAUUCUUAUUGAAAUGCAUGGGAAGACUGAACAGAGUUCCUGCCAUGUGCAAGGCACUCAUCUUGCUAACUGCAUCACUACUAAUAUUAAAUGUGAUUUCUAUAAAGCUUCCUUUAAUCUGCAAGAUGCCCUGAAUUCUAAGUGCUCAGUGUCGGUAACUGGAGUUAGGCAAGUGCUUCAGCAGAGACAGAAGCUGCAUUGGUGUAACUAUGCUUUAGCCUAUAGAUUUUAGAAAACCAAAUUCAAGCGAUGGGAAAGUUGAGGUAUUUUUGAAGAUGUCAAGCCACUCGUAAGCAAUGGAUGCCCUGACACACCGUGUUUAUUCCACACUUUUAUUCUGGAAGAGUGGUAGAGUUUUUAAACGAUAACAGAGUUUCCCCUCCAGCUUGUGAUAAACUAGUGGGUUGUGUUUUCUCGCUCAUGAUUGGCUGAGACUUUCUGCUAACAGCCAGGCCUCACCAGCUCUGUGCCAGGAUGUCAUCUGUCCUCUUCCCCAUUUUAUACAGCAUGUCCUGUCCUGUCCUCUGACCCACAUGGAAACAACUGCAAGCGGUUGCUUCACACGUGCUGGAAACGAGGCGUUGGUGCACACACUGGGAAUUGUCAUUUCAUCAUCGACUUCCCCGAGAUCAGACCUGUGUAGGGUGAUCCUUCCAUAGAAAUAAUUCAUGGAGAAGAAGGAGGGAGAGCAGGGGAAAAAAAAAAAAAAAAGGAAGACAAAAAAGGCUAAACUUCUAUUGAAGUAUUGAAGUUGGCUACCACUCGAGGGAAUUCUGUAGUCCUUACACUGGGGAAAAGGAUGGGAGAUUGCGGGGUUACCAGCUCAAGUGCGUCAGUGCGCAUGUGCACACUGCAAGGUGCCAUCCAGAGUGUAGUUUUGCUUCCGAAUUGUGUUUUCCGCAUUCAGUUGUCCCCUCAUUGACCCAUAAUUUCCUCACUGUUCACUUUCCUUGGUGUGUUGAGUGACAUCUGGAAGCCCGAGUUUCUCCUUACAUGUCUAUGUAUUCUCUGCAUCUAAAGUCAGAAUCACUUAAUUUUAAUGCAUCUUACUUGAUGAGAAAAGAGUAGGAAUGUGGGUGGUAUCUUUGCCCAAAAAAAGAGAAGUCAGUUAGGAGGAUUCCCCUGGCCUUGGCUUAGAGUCAUUUUGUCCCAUGCCUGCUGGGAAUUAAUUUUAACAGUCGCUUAUUUAAUUAAGUUAAAAGACUUUAAAAAGCUGUUUAUCCAAUAAAAUCAUAAACUAAUGGCCUUUAUGAAAUGCUAAGUAUGCCAACAGUCUUUAAGCCUUUUGCAAAAAGAAUUGUGAGAAGGGUUUGCAUGGAUGGAUUAGGUUUAAUUUUAAAGUGCAUUAAGUGACGGAAGCAAAUAUGAGCAAUUUACCUGGUGAGUUACCAGAAGUACCUUAGGUCAAGGCAAAUAGGAGUCCACUGUUGGACUGCUAAUCAAGUCUCAGAGCAGUGGUUUGGUAUGGAGAGGGAUACGUGUGUUUUAAGGCGCUAGAAGAGCCAUAACGUCAGAUUUUUUAUGUGCGCUGUGAUUUAUGUAAACAAGCAAUUACUUCCACCUUGGGGUUGGCUUCUUGCUCAGUUCGGGGCAUACCCGGUUACGCUUUAAAAAGAGUUAAUGUGGCAUAAUUCACAUGGCAGUUCCCUAUGGGGAGAAAAGUUAUAGACAUUUUUUUCUACUGGGAAAGGCAUGUUGUAAAGUGAGCCACGUGUGUCAUUUUAAAUCUCCAGUGGACCCAUUAAAACAAGUAAAAAAAAAUUAUCGUUUCAACAUGUAGUCAAUAUAAAAGAAUUCAUGGGAUAAGUUCCAUUUUUUUCCUCUUGUCUUUUGACACCUGGUGUGUAUCUUAUGCUCGCAGCACACCUCAAAUUCAGAUACCUUUCAUCUCCUGUCUGGUAGCUACACGCGAUUAGUGGCUGCCGUACUGGACAGCAGCACAGCUCUAGACCAGAGGCUUAUAGGAGCGAAAAUGUAAGAAAAAUGGAGAAAGAGGCCCAAUGGGGCCUGAGGCCAGCUGUGUUUUUUCUAGAAUGGGCGGAGCUGCUCUCAGCCCAGCCUGAUCCUGCGGUAACCCUAGUGCUGUCAGGUGUUCUGCUUUUUUUUUGUUUUUUGUUUUUUGUUUUCCCCCAGGGAAGCCAGAAAUUCAGAGUCCCGUGGGAAACCUCCUCAUUUUUAAUUCCAAACUUUUAAAACAUCAUGGGGUCUGGCUCUCAGGUUUGCCAGUUUGUGGCCUCUAUUCCCAGCAUUUCAUAUUCUAAAUCAGGUUCUCUGGCUCAUCUGACAUGCAGUGUUAGUUAGUUUGGCUAAGGAUAAUAAAGGAUUUGGUUUUCACAAAUGCACAUGUCUUUGAACAUAUUUUUAAGCGUAUGGACUCUAUGCCACAUUAGAAUCUAUUCAGUGGCUGCCUGACUUACUCAGGCACCUUCAGGAAAGUGAAUUUCCUGUGCUCAUAGCACCUAGAGCCAGAAAGCCUCUGGGAUAAAGCCCUUCAUGGCUCUGACUGACAGCUCACUCCCCUUAUUUUAGAAAUGUUUAUCCCACCCGAUGUGUGUUCAGCAUCCUUCUGCCAUGUCAGAUUGCAGGCUUCUCGGGGGGCAGGCAGAAUCUGUCUUAUUUCUCAUUGUAUUCCCAGCAUCUGGUGUGUGGCAGGAGUUGUGCAAGUAUUUACUGAAUGCAUAAAUACGUAAAUAACUUAAAAACCAAGGAGGAAAUGUUAGUGAGGAUGUGGAAAAACUGGCACUGUUGUGCGCUGCUGGUUGGGAUGUAAAAUGCUGCAUCCACUUUGGAAACCAGGAUGGAGCUUCCUCAAAACAUGAAACAGAGAAUUUACCAUAUCCCCAGCAAUUCCAUUUCUGGAUACAUACCCCCCAAAACUGAAAGCAAGGGCACAGAGAGAUAUUUGCACAGCCGUGUUUAUAGCCACAUUAUGCACACUAGCCACAAGGUGGAAGCAACCCAACUGUCCAUCAAUAUGAAUAGAUCAAAUGUCAUAGUACAAACAAUGGAAAAUUAUUCACCCUUAAAAAAGGAAAGACAUCAUAGCAUAGGCUACACCAUGGGUGAAACUCAAAGACCUAAUGCUGAGUGAAAUAAACCAAUCAAACGGACAAAUAUUGCCUGAUUCCACUUUCUAUGAAUGUCUAGAGUAAGUCAGACUCAGACAGAAGAUAGAACUGUGGUCCCCAGAGGCUGGGAGGAGUGGGCAGGGGGCAGUUAUUGUUUAAUGGGUACAGAGUUUCAGUUUUGUAAGAUGAAAAGAGUUCUGUGGCUGGCUGGUGGUGGUGGUUACACAGCAAUCAAUGUGAAUAUACUUAAUACCACUGAACUGGUUAAAAUGUUAAAUCUUGUGUUAUAGAUGUUUUGCUAUGAUAUAAUUUAAAACAUACUAAAAAAAAAAAAAAAAA
ensembl:lncRNA